AUUGAACGCUGGCGGCAUGCCUUACACAUGCAAGUCGAACGGCAGCAUGAUCUAGUCUUGCUAGUAUUGAGUGGCGAGGUGGACGGAACGGGUGAAGUAAUACAGUACGGAACGUCGCCCUGUAGGGCGGGGAAUAACUACGUACGAAAGUAUUAACUAAUACCGCAUACGACCAGAGGGUGAAAGUGGGGACCGCAAGGCCUCAUGCUAUAGGAGCGGCCGAUGUCUGAUUAGCUAGUUGGUGAGGUAAAGGCUCACCAAGGCGACGAUCAGUAGCUGGUCUGAGAGGACGAUCAGCCACACUGGGACUGAGACACGGCCCAGACUCCUACGGGAGGCAGCAUG
rnacentral:rRNA from 1 species